AUUAAGAUAGGAGCCCUGUG
rnacentral:misc_RNA from 1 species